rnacentral:SRP_RNA from 1 species
GCUGGGCAUGGUGGUGCAUGCCUGUAAUCCCAGCUACUCGGGAGGCUGAGGCAGGAGAAUUGCUUGAACCCAGGAGUUGGAGUUUGCAGUGAGCCAAGAUCGCGCCAUUGCUCUCUAGCCUGGGUGACAGAGUGAGACUCUGCCUACA